rnacentral:rRNA from 1 species
AGGGUUUGAUCCUGGCUCAGGAAGAAACGCAAGUUCCAGGCUUAACACAUGCAAAGUCGAGGGGCAGCAUGCAGGUAGCUUGCUAAUAUGUGAUGGCGACCGGCGCACGGGUGAGUAAACGCGUAUCCAACCUUCCCCGUUAGUAGGGCACAGCCCGGCGAAAGUCGGAUUAAUUCCCUAUGUUCUUGACAGCAGACAUCUAACGUCAAGCAAAAGAUUCAUCGCUAUGGGAUGGGGAUGCGUCUGAUUAGGUUGCAGGCGGGGUAACGGCCCACCUGGCCAACGAUCAGUAGGGGUUCUGAGAGGAAGGUCCCCCACAUUGGAACUGAGACACGGUCCAAACUCCUACGGGAGGCAGCAGUGAGGAAUAUUGGUCAAUGGGCGAGAGCCUGAACCAGCCAAGUAGCGUGCAGGAUGACGGCCCUAUGGGUUGUAAACUGCUUUUAUGCGGGGAUAAAGUUCACUACGUGUAGUGUUUUGUAGGUACCGCAUGAAUAAGGACCGGCUAAUUCCGUGCCAGCAGCCGCGGUAAUACGGAAGGUCCGGGCGUUAUCCGGAUUUAUUGGGUUUAAAGGGAGCGCAGGCGGGCGAUUAAGCGUGACGUGAAAUGCAGCGGCUCAACCGUGUGAAGUGCGUCGCGAACUGGUUGCCUUGAGUGAGUUCGACGUGCGCGGAAUUCGUGGUGUAGCGGUGAAAUGCUUAGAUAUCACGAAGAACUCCGAUUGCGAAGGCAGCGCACGAGGCCUUUACUGGCGCUAAAGCUCGAAGGUGCGGGUAUCGAACAGGAUUAGAUACCCUGGUAGUCCGCACGGUAAACGAUGGAUGCCCGCUGUUUGCGGUUCUCUGGGGGCGGCCGGCGGCGGGCGUUCGGCGUCCCCCCUGGGGGGUUCGCCGGCGUCGGUGGCGCUCCUGGGGUUGGGGGGGGGCCCGCCCGGCGGGGGGCGCGUGUGGUUUUUUUCGUUGGUGCGCGAGGGCCCUUUCCCGGGCUUGUGCUGCCGGCGC